rnacentral:rRNA from 1 species
CCUACGGGUGGCAGCAGUAGGGAAUGUUGCGCAAUGGGCGAAAGCCUGACGCAGCAACGCCGCGUGAUUGAGACGCUCUUCGGGGUGUAAAGAUCUGUUAGUGGGGACGAAACUUGACGGUAACCACAGAGGAAGCACCGGCUAAAUCCGUGCCAGCAGCCGCGGUAAUACGGGGGGUGCAAGCGUGGUCCGGAAUCAUUGGGCGUAAAGAGUUCGUAGGCGGCACGUCAAGUAUGGUGUUAAAGGCAUAGGCUCAACUUCUGUACGGCACGGGAUACUUGCGAGCUAGAGUGCGUUAGAGGUAAGGGGAAUUCCUGGUGUAGCGGUGAAAUGCUUAGAUAUCAGGAGGAACAUCGGUGGCGUAGGCGCUUUACUGGGCCGUAAUUGACGCUGAGGAACGAAAGCCAGGGUAGCAAAUGGGAUUAGAUACCCUGGUAGUC